rnacentral:tRNA from 1 species
AAAGAUAAUAGUGUAAAUUUAGCAUAUUUGGUUUUCAUCCAAAUGGAAUAAUAUAAUAUUUAUCUUUA